UUGUUAGUGGCAAGAACUCGAGUGCACUGUGCACUCUGUGAGGUCAUAAAGCGAAGAAAGUGCAAUUACACAAUGAAAAGGGGCAAGCACACUGCAUAAAGAUGUAGAUGAGCUAAAGCUACAUGGAAGAGAUGGGACAGCAUGCCAUGGGGGGAGCAGCCCAGCAGGGGAGCCAGGCAGCUGUCUCCUGACUACUUUCUUGACUGGAAAACAUGGGAUGCCUCAGAAUGCUCCAUAUCUUUAUGGUUCCCCGAGGAUGACUUCAAAUUCUGAAAAUAAAAUGCAGCAGACCAGAUCGUAACGUCAGAAUUCAUUUUGGCAACUCUUGGAAAAGAAGAUUCAUUGUUUUGGUUGGUUUGUAAAGCUCUAAUGGUAAACUUCUGUUGUUUUCUAAAGAAAAGGUGGGCCCUUAGAGCACAUAAUAAAUAGUAACAUCGAUUUCACCUUGAAAAUUGCUACAAAAGUAGU